rnacentral:rRNA from 1 species
UACGAAGGGGGCUAGCGUUGCUCGGAAUCACUGGGCGUAAAGCGCACGUAGGCGGAUCUUUAAGUCAGGGGUGAAAUCCUGGAGCUCAACUCCAGAACUGCCUUUGAUACUGGGGAUCUCGAGUCCGGAAGAGGUGAGUGGAACUCCGAGUGUAGAGGUGAAAUUCGUAGAUAUUCGGAAGAACACCAGUGGCGAAGGCGGCUCACUGGUCCGGUACUGACGCUGAGGUGCGAAAGCGUGGGGAGCAAACAGGGAUUAAGA